UUUCCUACGGGGGGCAGCAGUGGGGAAUAUUGCACAAUGGGGGAAACCCUGAUGCAGCGACGCCGCGUGAGUGAAGAAGUAUUUCGGUAUGUAAAGCUCUAUCAGCAGGGAAGAAACCCACCCUUUGGGGUGGCUGACGGUACCUGACUAAGAAGCCCCGGCUAACUACGUGCCAGCAGCCGCGGUAAUACGUAGGGGGCAAGCGUUAUCCGGAUUUACUGGGUGUAAAGGGAGCGUAGACGGCAGCACAAGUCUGGAGUGAAAUCCCGGGGCUUAACCCCGGAACUGCUUUGGAAACUGUGCGG
rnacentral:rRNA from 1 species